rnacentral:rRNA from 1 species
CACGGGGGUUGCGAGCGUUGUCCGGAAUUACUGGGCGUAAAGAGCUCGUAGGUGGUUUGUCACGUCGUCUGUGAAAUUCCGGGGCUUAACCUCGGGCGUGCAGGCGAUACGGGCAAUACUUGAGUGCUGUAGGGGAGACUGGAAUUCCUGGUGUAGCGGUGAAAUGCGCAGAUAUCAGGAGGAACACCAAUGGCGAAGGCAGGUCUCUGGGCAGUUACUGACGCUGAGGAGCGAAAGCAUGGGUAGCGAACAGGAUUAGAUA